CUUUGGGGCUGCACUGGGUGCGCAGGACAGCUCUCUUUGUGGCGUCCAUUGACCGCAAUGGUGCAUGCAAUGGACUUCAACUGGCCAAAAAAUAACCCAUCGUGGUAUAAUUGCCUCAGGUCAGAGAAGACUACCCGCUGGACUUAAGCAUAUCAAUAAGCGGAGGAAUCUAGAUGCAUUCGCGAG
rnacentral:rRNA from 1 species